CAAGGAACGAAGAGCAUACGAUGGAUGCCUUGGCGCGUUGCGGCGAUGAAGGACGUGGUGAACUGCGAAAAGC
rnacentral:rRNA from 1 species